rnacentral:rRNA from 1 species
UACGUAGGGGGCGAGCGUUGUCCGGAUUUAUUGGGCGUAAAGAGUUCGUAGGUGGUUCGUUAAGUCUGGUGUAAAAGACUGGGGCUCAACCCUGGGAUCGCAUUGGAUACUGGCGGACUGGAGUGCAGUAGAGGCAAGCGGAAUUCCCAGUGUAGCGGUGAAAAUGCGUAGAUAUUGGGGAAGAACACCGGUGGCGCAAGCGGCUUGCUGGGCUGUAACUAACACUGAGGAACGAAAAGCUAGGGGAGCAAAUGGG